GAUCAAUCUAUUAAGCCACUUGGAGAUAGCUAUCUAAAUAGAUUUUUUAUUUAGGAAAAAAAAAACUCUGAAAGAGAGAUAUUGAAAAGGAAAUAUCAGUUCACUACCAUGCAGAGAGCAAUAUUUUUAGAGCUGUUUUUAAUAAUUAUUUUCUCUAUCUCGCUUUCAUGCUAUGCUUUUGAAGGUUCUUUUCCACCACAACAAAAGCCAUUAGCAUGGGGAAGUCAUUUGAAGGAUGCACGUAAGGAAGUUGGUAUAGAGAGUUUCCAGAGACGUGGUGGAAAGGGACCUAUUAAUGGUGGUGAAGAUGUUCUUCGUCCCCGCGGUAAAGGGCACAGGAAUGGAGCUGCAGGCUCCGUUAUGCUGAAAUCUUCUUCCUUCCUCUCAAGAGUAUUACUACUUAUUAGAUAUGUUCUUGUCUUUGUUUUUGUUGUCUUGGUUUGAAUGCCCAUGAAGCAGUGGAAUUAUGUGAAAACAUCAAGCAGGAUUUGAGGAAAAUUAACAAUAUUGUAUACUAAGAUUAGUUAGAGGUAUAUGGGACUUAGAGAACAGUUUUAUUUAUUAUUCCCUAAGAUGGACUUUUAUUUUGACAUAGUUUAAUAUUAUAUAGUUAAAACAA
rnacentral:misc_RNA from 1 species